UACAGAGACUGCAAGCGUUAUUCGGAUUCACUGGGCGUAAAGGGUGCGCAGGCGGCCAAGUGUGUUAGGCGUGAAAGCCUGAGGCUUAACCUCAGAAUUGCACCUAAAACUACAUGGCUAGAGCAUUGGAGAGGGUAGCGGAAUUCACGGUGUAGCAGUGAAAUGCGUAGAUAUCGUGAGGAACACCAGAGGCGAAGGCGGCUACCUGGACAAUUGCUGACGCUCAGGCACGAAAGCGUGGGGAGCAAAAGGGAUUAGA
rnacentral:rRNA from 1 species